UACGUAGGGGGCAAGCGUUGUCCGGAAUCAUUGGGCGUAAAGCGCGUGUAGGCGGACUGGAAGGUCUGGUGUGAAGGCCCGGGGCUCAACCCCGGAGGGUCACUGGAAACCGACAGUCUUGAGUCCGGAAGAGGAGAGUGGAAUUCCUGGUGUAGCGGUGGAAUGCGCAGAUAUCAGGAGGAACACCUAUGGCGAAGGCAGCUCUCUGGUACGUGACUGACGCUGAGACGCGAAAGCGUGGGGAGCGAACAGG
rnacentral:rRNA from 1 species